AUUGAACGCUGGCGGCAUGCCUUACACAUGCAAGUCGAACGGCAGCACGGGAGCAAUCCUGGUGGCGAGUGGCGAACGGGUGAGUAAAGUAUCGGAACGUGCACAGUCGUGGGGGAUAACGUAGCGACAGUUACGCUAAUACCGCAUACGAUCUAUGGAUGAAAGCGGGGGAUCGCAAGACCUCGCGCGAUUGGAGCGGCCGAUAUCAGAUUAGGUGGUUGGUUGGGUAAAGGCUCACCAAGCCGACGAUCGGUAGGUGGUCUGAGAGGACGAGCAGCCAAACUGGGACUGAGGGACGGCCCAGACGCCUACGGGAGGCAGCAGUGGGGAAGUUUGGACAAUGGGCGAAAGCCUGAUCCAACCACGCCGCGUGCAGGAUGAAGGCCUUCGGGUUGUAAACGGCUGUUGUACGGAACGAAAAGGUUUGGGCUAAUAAGCUGAGCUCAUGACGGUACCGUAAGAAUAAGCACCGGCUAACUACGUGCCAGCCGCCGCCGUAA
rnacentral:rRNA from 1 species